ensembl:lncRNA
CUCUGCAGACUAAUUAGAUUGAGUUGAUGAGCUCAUCAGUAAUGUGUGUAAUUAAGAUCAAGAGCUAAUUGGGGGCUGCUUGGUGCCCUACAUUCUGUAGGGCUGUCUCUUGCGUGGUGCGGUGUGGUUGGGGAGCAGUGGGGUUCUCUGCAGGUGGGGUGUCCCAGCCCCAGCUCUGGUUGAAGUGUGUGGAGGCAGUGGUUUGGGUAUGGUGUCCAACCUUUUGGCCGCACAGAGCAGAAGGAAAUGGUCUUGGGCCACGUAGACGUAGGUUGUACCGAAAGUAAUGCCUCCUAUUUAUUUCCGUGGAAACUACAGCAGAUACAAAGGGCACAAUAACACAAUAUGAUAGAGCGAAUUCUCGGAUACAGAACACUAUUUUUCAGCUUAGUCCCCACAAUGGGCUCUGCAUUUCUGCCAGCAAUGAACAAAAGCCUGCAUGAUGUCCUCAUCAGAGCGUGCACCAGUGGAGGUGACCCGCUGUUGUCACUGCUGAAAUGCACUCACUUCCCACCCCUCACCGUGCUCACAUCCAUUGUUUGUCUCCAGAAACAUUCACCAACCAUCAGCGGAUGCCAAUGGGUGAGACUGCAUUCCCAGAGGAACUCAAUCCCACACCUUUGCUUCGUCUGCACUUCCAUGUCAGACACUGCUGUGUCAGACUGCCCCUCUGCUGCCAUCUGUCACACGGCAACAACAUGGGACGGGGUAUUGGUGGGAAGGUUCCACCUCUACUGCCUCUGCCUCUACCAUCACCAUCCGCCUCUGAUGUGGUCAUGAAACAGGAGGCAUUACUUCUGAUGCGGACCUCAUAGAAUACACGGAGGAAAUCAUCUGUGCUGGAGAGGACUGGGACAACCGUGCAGCAGAUGCUGGAGGGUGCUGGCACGUCCCUGGGAUGUGCUGGUGCAUAACUGACACCCGUCAUGGGAUCCUGCUCCAGGCAGGUCCAGACAGCCUGGAGAAGAACUCGUUGAGAGCAGCCCUGCGGAGAAGGACUUGGAGGUCCCAAUGGACAGAAGCGGGACAUGAGGCAGCAGUGUGCGCCUGCAGCCCGGAAGGCCGACAGUCCCCUGGGCUGCAGCAACAGAGGGGUGGCAGCAGGGAGAGGAGAGGGAGGGGGUUGUGCCCCUCUGCUCUGUCCCUGGAAGGUCCCACCUGCAGUGCUGUGCCCAGGCCUGGGCCCCCAGGACAGGAGGGAUGCGGAGCUGCUGGAGCGGGUCCAGAGGAGGGCACGAGGAUGCUCAGAGGGCUGCAGCACCUCUGCUGUGAAGCAGGCUGAGGGGGUGGCUUCUCUCCUACAAGAGGGGAGGCGUUGGUUAGAUGUGAGGGCGGUGAGGCGCUGGCACUGCUGCCCAGAGAGCUGUGGGUGCCCCAUCCCUGCAGGCACUCAAGGCCAGGUGGGAUGGGGCCCUGGGCAGCCUGAGCUGGUGGGGGGCAGCCCUGCCCAUGGCCGGGGGUGGCACUGGAUGGGCUUUGAGGUCCCUCCAACCUGAGCCAAUCCGUGAUUCUGUGGUUCUAUGAGAUGUGCAUGAGGCAGACUGCGCUGCCUGCCCCACACCUCCAAUAUUGCUGUUGUUUCCCCCGGACCCAGCCCUGAGCUGCCAGCAGCGGCUCCCAACCGCCUGCCCUUGCAGGGAGCGCGAGGAAACAAUGUUUAUUUGCAAAUACGGCUGUUAUUGAGCCAAAUGAGAGAGAUUAUUAGGGGCUCAUGGAAUUGUCAGUGAGCACUGUUUAAUUAGAGCUCAGACAUAACACUCAUCAUUACCCGUAGCUCCACUCUGAUCUCAGGCUCUGUACCCCCAGGCUUCCCUGGCUGCAGGGAGCGCAGCGAGGCCGGCUCUCCCCAGCUCCCUCAUCAAAUACCUGCUCCAGCCUCUCAAGGUUAGCGCGAUGGGGGUCAGCCAUGUUUAAACGUUGAUUACAGAGUCGGCGGGAGCCGCUAAGAUUUCUAAUUAAGAUUAAAGAAUGCACAUGGCUUAUAAAUGGUUCUCAG